CGCAGGCUCCCAGCCGAGUCCGUUAUGGCCGCUGCCGUCCCGAAGAGGAUGAGGGGGCCAGCACAAGCGAAACUGCUGCCCGGGUCGGCCAUCCAAGCCCUUGUGGGGUUGGCGCGGCCGCUGGUCUUGGCGCUCCUGCUUGUGUCCGCCGCUCUAUCCAGUGGUAAAGGGGGGCGGCAGUGUGGGCUUAGGAAGGCUAGGAGGGCUCGGGCGCAGGGCAGGAGACAGGCCGGGCCAGGGAAAGGGCGCUUCCAAGUGUCAGGAGCAGACGGCGGUGUCUGGUUGGGUCAGGGUCUCCGCGGGCCUGAGGACGGAGGGUAUGGUGUCUGAAGGGGUCCAAGGUGGUAGGGUCUCCAAGGGGCCUGAGAAGCGGGGUCCCUGAGAGAUGCAGGAACCCAGGGAGCAGGCAGCAGGGUGUGUAGAUGGGCGGGGAGGGAGGAGUGGUGUUAGCGCCUAGAGAUCGUUGAAGAAUGGGCUGCCGCAAGGAAUGGCGGUGGUGGGGUCUCCAAAAUUUCUUGGAUCGGAAAGUUAGGAGACUCUGGAAGAGAGGGUGGCGACAGGGGCUGAGGAGGUGGCCGGGGCUGGGGGUGUGGUGUCUGGAAAGGGUCCUGAGUUUGGGGGACUCAGGAAUCUUGCAGGACCAAGGAAAGGUGGGGGUUUUCCAGAAUGGGAGAGGUCAGUGGUAAAGACCGAGGCGGGCAGGGGCAGUAAUCCAGUGACUGGACUGAACCAAUGGAAUAUUUCCGAGAGGGAAAGUGAAAGGGAAAGAGCUGUCUUAGGGUACUGGUGCAUAUUUGAAGACUGGGAGGUUCUGGUGUUUGAUAAAGAUUCAGAGUACUGGGGCGUUGGGCCCCUGAAGGCUUGGGAGGCAGAGAGGAGUUUGGAGACAAGGGAGAUCAUGAUUCCUCUUCCCUGUGUUCCGAGUUAACCAGGAUAACCCUGCCUCGUUUUAAUGCAUCUGUAGGAUUUGAUUGAUAAAAUAUUUCAUUUCUUGCAAAUGUUGCAUGGUGAAAUCAAGAGAUUGAAGGCUUUUAUUGAGAAAUUAGGAAAUCUGUAAACCAGUGCCUGAUACUUGGUGGGAAAAAUCCACUAUUAAGAACUUGUAAGGAUUAAACGGUAUUUUGUUUAGUAGUCCCAUUUUUCUUUCAGGCCAAGACACAGUCCUGCGUUUCUCCCUAAAUUUGAAUUUUCAGCUGCAAAACAGUGUGACCUGUUGUAUCACGGACUGAUUCACCGAGCCCAACCGUACUCAACUCACAUAUUUCUACCCCAAAUGUGAAUGCUUUAACACAUGAAAACCAAACCAAACCUUCUAUUUCCCAAAUCAGCACCACCCUCCCUCCCACGACGAGUACCAAGAAAAGUGGAGGAGCAUCUGUGGUCCCUCAUCCCUCGCCUACUCCUCUGUCUCAAGAGGAAGCUGAUAACAAUGAAGAUCCUAGUAUAGAGGAGGAGGAUCUUCUCAUGCUGAACAGUUCUCCAUCCACAGCCAAAGACACUCUAGACAAUGGCGAUUAUGGAGAACCAGACUAUGACUGGACCACGGGCCCCAGGGACGACGACGAGUCUGAUGACACCUUGGAAGAAAACAGGGGUUACAUGGAAAUUGAACAGUCAGUGAAAUCUUUUAAGAUGCCAUCCUCAAAUAUAGAAGAGGAAGACAGCCAUUUCUUUUUUCAUCUUAUUAUUUUUGCUUUUU
rnacentral:lncRNA from 1 species